UACGAAGGGGGCUAGCGUUGCUCGGAAUCACUGGGCGUAAAGGGUGCGUAGGCGGGUCUUUUAAGUCAGGGGUGAAAUCCUGGAGCUCAACUCCAGAACUGCCUUUGAUACUGAGGAUCUUGAGUUCGGGAGAAGGUGAGUGGAACUGCGAGUGUAGAGGUGAAAUUCGUAGAUAUUCGCAAGAACACCAGUGGCGAAGGCGGCUCACUGGCCCGAUACUGACGCUGAGGCACGAAAGCGUGGGGAGCAAACAGG
rnacentral:rRNA from 1 species